GAUGAAGAACGCAGCGAAAUGCGAUAAGUAGUGUGAAUUGCAGAAUUCAGUGAAUCAUCGAAUCUUUGAACGCACAUUGCGCCCCUUGGUAUUCCAUGGGGCAUGCCUGUUCGAGCGUCAUUUGUACCCUCAAGCUUUGCUUGGUGUUGGGUGUUUGUCCCGCGUUGCGCGUGGACUCGCCUUAAUGCGAUUGGCAGCCGGCAUAUUGGCCUUGGAGCGCAGCACAUUUUGCGCUUCUAGUCAUGAAUGUUGGCGUCCAUUAAGCCUAUACAUUUGCUCUUGACCUCGGAUCAGGUAGGGAUACCCGCUGAACUUAAGCAUAUCAAUAAGCGGAGGA
rnacentral:misc_RNA from 1 species